UACGUAGGCAGCAAGCGUUGUUCGGAGUUACUGGGCGUAAAGGGUGUGUAGGCGGUUCACUAAGUUCGGUGUGAAAUCUCCCGGCUUAACUGGGAGGGUGCAUUGAAAACUGGUGGGCUUGAGUAUGGGAGAGGUAAGCGGAAUUCCUGGUGUAGCGGUGAAAUGCGUAGAUAUCGGGAAGAACAUCGGUGGCGAAAGCGCUCUACUGGACGGUGACUGACACUCAGGGACGAAAGCUAGGGGAGCGAAUGGG
rnacentral:rRNA from 1 species